UCCUAGCCCCGAUCGAAAUGGUAUCCUUUUAUGCCGGGGUUCGGCAUAAAAGAUAUAAUGUAGAGCGGGACAAAUG
rnacentral:sRNA from 1 species